rnacentral:piRNA from 1 species
UGAGAUUUAAAGAUAUGUGCCACCAUGCCUG